UAGAAUCGCCCCGUUGUUGGUGCUCGCAAUGCCAUUCCGGCAAAGCGGUUAAACGGGAAGCAGGAGGAGGGCGCGACCAGGGUUGCCGCACCCCCCGGCCUGCGCUGCCCCCGCAACGGUCAGCGGAACAGCGGGCAGAUGCCCGCGCUCCCCAUGCACAUGCCACUGGAACCAUCGGGUCUCGGGAAGGCUUUGGGGUCAUUGUCCGCCAGCCCGGAUACCGGCCAGCAAAGUGACCGCCUG
rnacentral:ncRNA from 2 species